CAUCGGGGCUGCGAGGCCCCGGGCCCCGGGCCCGACGCUCGUCGCCCGCACGAGGGGACCCGGUCGUGGCCGUCAUCGGGGCUGCAAGGCCCCGGGCCCCGGGCCCGACGCUCGUCGCCCGCACUAGGCCACCAGGUCGGGGCCGUCGUCGGGGCUGCGAGGCCCCGGACCCCGGGCCCGACACUCGUCGCCCGCACUAGGCUACCAGGUCGGGGCCGUCGACGGGGCUGGCUCCGGGCCCGACACUCGUCGCCCGCAUGAGGGGACCGGAUCGGGGCCGUUGACGGGGCUGCGAGGCCCGGGGCUCCCGGCCCGACACUCGUCGCCCGCACGAGGGGACCCGGUCGUGGCCGCUGGUGGGACUGUGAGCGUGUGUUUGCUUUUCUAAGUCCUUGGGUCGACCAGGUGGCCACAGGAGCACGCCCUGUCGUCGAUGGGUAUGUUUUUGGGGACCUGUGACCCGGGCCCCCAUCUGAGGGGGUGGCUGUGUCGCAUAGGUUGUCCCCGUUGUCCCCUGGAAGGGCAUUUGUACGCCUGCAGUUGUCAUUUUGGAUCUGCAGGUAGGUGCUGACACGCUGUCUCCUGGCGACCGUCGCCAGGAGAGCUGGGCCCCUGGGUUCGCGUCUGGGGGGCAGGGGGAGAGCGCGACGGGCUGCCGGCGGCCUGGCGUCGGACUGCGUCUCCCCUGCCCAUCCGGCGGCCGAGCUGCCUGCCUGGGUUCGUGCGGCAGCUUCGGUGUGCGAUCCCGGUUGAGCCCUGCGACGGUGCUGCCAUCUCCGGCUUACGAUUUGCCCCGAGAGCGGCGGGGGUGAGGCCGGGCGCUGGGUCCUAUACCCGUGUCCGCUCUCUGCCGCAGGCGGCCCGUUGUGUAGCGGUGGCUGACGAGACCCCUUCCUGAGACUGAGCCGGUAGUAGCGGCUUCAUGCCGCGUGUGCGUGUCAGGCGUUCCUCCGCUGGGGUUGGCCACCGCCGCUGAGGAGGCAAGGGGCCGGUGAGGCUGCGACGGACCCCCUCUCUGGCGGCUGUCCUCGCCGGGCGUGACCCCCUGUGCCUCGCGUGAUGUCACAAUUCCAGACCGCGACUGACCGAUGUGGUGAUGUGGCGCUCUCCCGGGCCGGGCCUAAGCCGCUUACAGACGAGGGACGGCCGUUCAUGGCGAAUGCUGCCGAGCUUCUCGUUCUGUCUUGCGGGCUCCUGGUUCCUCUUUCCCCUGCCUCGGUGUGGUGGGAGAGGCCAGGGGUG